rnacentral:misc_RNA from 1 species
AAGUCGUAACAAGGUCUCCGUAGGUGAACCUGCGGAGGGAUCAUUCACAUGAUUACUUUUUAUAAACAAACUGUGAACUUUAUAUACUAUUCGUGUUUUUUUGUCAGUUUAACUUUCAUUAAACAUUGUCAUUCGUUGAACAUAAGAUAGUUGGCUUGAAAUUUAUUAUUCUUUCUCAGCUUUGAUUUGAUUGAAAAUUCAACACUUUCUCUCAAUCAACCAUAAACAUAGAAACAACUCUAUGCCCUGGAUAUCUUGGUUCUC